UAGCUCAUUGUGAAGGCCCUGGGUUCAAUCCACCCAAAAAGGAAGUAGGUAAAAUUGCUCAUUUAGUAAGUAAUUUAGAAAGUACCUACUUCGUCCUAGGCCAGUGCAAGGCUCUGGGGGACACAAGAUGAGUAAAGUCACUAUAGCUUAGUGGGCAGGGUGAAGAACUGAUGCAGAAAUGCAAAGGUCUUUUGCAGUUGUCCUAUGAGGAUAAUAUCUAUUCCUCCUUGCUUUAUGAGGCUGUUUCAAGGGUCACUUGAGACCAAGGAAUUCCAGAAUCAUUAGGAAUUGUAACUAAUGCUGAAAAAAGCAUGAAUGUAAGUACAGAGAGGGUUUAUGACAUCACAAACCAGGAAGGUGCCCAGGACAGGUAGGUAUCAUUAAUCAACUUUCUCUCUGAAUUCAGAUAAAAUCUUGAAACCUCAACACAGCCCUCUCUGCAGACAGCUGGCUGUUCGCUAUCAGUUGACUAGGACUGACUUGGGACAUAAAUCCUAUUUGGCAUCCUUUUCUGCUUGGAAUAAAAAGACAUGCAAUGGGAUCAAACUCCAGUCCUUAUGCUUGCGAGGCAGGUGCUGGAACCACUGAGCUAAAUCCCCGGCCCCAGCUUCCUACUUUGAAACAGGUAAUUAUGGAUCCAUCUGGGAGGAUUGGUAUUAACAUAUGUAAAGCACCAAACAAAGCAUGAAAUGCAGAAUGGCGCUUGCUAGAUCUUAUUUUCUUUUCCUUUUUAUCAUAUAAACAGGAUGACAUUUACUGUUGAAGAAUUUCAUCAAAAAUUUACCCUAGGAAGUGAAACUUCUGGCUUUUCUCACAUCCUAAAUGUUAGUUCUGAACUAGGCUCCUUUCCGAAAAAUAGGAAUGCUUCCCUUCUAAACUAGUUCAUGUAAGGCAAGGUGCUUGAUGAACUAUUAAAUGGCCAUUAAAAACAAGCCAGUAUAGUGGCGCAUGUCUGUGAUCCCAGCACUCAUGAGGCUGAGGCAGGAGGCAGGAGGAUCGCC
rnacentral:lncRNA from 1 species